rnacentral:lncRNA from 1 species
AUGUUAACCCCGAGGUCCCAGUGUGGUACUGGAAUUUCCACCUGGUGCCCUAGUAUAUACCCAGUUAGAGCCAGCUCUGCCAUCCUAGCACGACACACAUGGGAUCUUUCCAGGGUUUUAUAGCACGGAUUAUUGGUUAGAAAUACAGCAAGAAAGCCAGACACGGUGGUGUACAACUGUAAUCCCCUGCACUGGGGAGGUGAAACCAGGAGGGUCAAGAGUUCACCAUCAGGGCUGGCAAGAGUUUGAUCCUUGGAACCCAUAUGGUGGGAAAAGAGAACCUGUUUCCCCCAGUUGUCCUCUGAACUCCAAAGACACAUGGUAGCAUGCUUACACACACACACACACAGACAGUGCUUGCUUAUAUACACUCACAAAUGCACACACAUACUCAAUGAAAAAGUUCAGGAUCACUUUUAGUUUUCUGGUGAGUUGAAAAUACUAGAAUUCCGAGUGACCUGGAUGUCUGCUCAGCGCCACCACCCUUUACCAUAUGGGCAGAUAGCUCUUCCUUGCAGAUGGUAUUCGGUUCGUUUCCUCUCCAUUACACAGAAACCAUUUGUCUGAAGGAAGAGAUAAAAGUUGUCAUCCCACCACGUGGCCUUGGCUGGCCUGCAUCUUAGUCUAGGUAGACCAGGCUGGCCUCAAACUCACACAUCUGCCUGCCUCUCCCUCCCCAAGUGCUAGGAUCAAAGGCGUGAGUCACUAUACCCAGCCAAAGCAACGGUUCUAAAACAUUCCAGGUCCGAAAGAUUGGUGAGGAAGCUGUUGUGGAGUAGAAUUUUAUUCUCUUGGUACCAGGAAUGAGAUGCAAGGGCCCGGGCAUGCUAGGCAUGGCGCUCUGCUGCUGAGCUACGAGUAAAGAUCAGAGGGGGGGAUGUCGGAUGACAGCUCUCCAUUGCUGGGGUGCGGUGACCUUGGUGCUGGUUCUGCCUCCCUCGCAGGUCUGGAAACUCCUGCUUCUGCUUCUUUAAUACUGGGAUUAAAGACCUAAGCUGUCAUGCUCAGCGAGGGGAAGUCUCCAACGUUGCUUUUAAACGUAGACAGAGACAUGAAUUUCCAGAUAUUAAAAUCAUUAGGAAUAAGCUGAGCUGUGGGAGGGGGGAGCCAGGCCUGUCCGGCAGUGAGAAGAAGAGACCUUUGAGUGUUUAAGAUCCCCCCCCCGGGCCCCCAGCUAUAGGACAAGCCUUUGAGGUAGAGGAAAGGAUGCUUGCUAGACCUCGGAGUUUCAUUUAGUAUUUUAAUAAUAUAAAAAAGACAAUACAAAAUCCAAACAUUCCUUUUUACAAGUUUUCAGAUACAUAUUUUUCCCCAAGUGCAAAAUACUCUGUGUACCACAUUGCUGCUGCCUAUUGUCAACUGAGAUGCUUGCUGUAUGAGAGGCAGUGGAAGGCAGAUAUAAAUAUAGUAUUUUAAG